rnacentral:rRNA from 1 species
GAUGAACGCUAGCGGCAGGCUUAACACAUGCAAGUCGAGGGGCAGCGUGAUGAAGUAGCAAUACGGAUUCGACGGCGACCGGCGCACGGGUGCGUAACGCGUAUGUAACCUACCCUUAACAGGGGGAUAACACUGAGAAAUUGGUACUAAUACCCCAUAACACUUCGGAGGGCAUCCUCUGGAGUUGAAAGUUCCGGCGGUUAAAGAUGGACAUGCGUUGUAUUAGCUAGAUGGUGAGGUAACGGCUCACCAUGGCGACGAUACAUAGGGGGACUGAGAGGUUAACCCCCCACACUGGUACUGAGACACGGACCAGACUCCUACGGGAGGCAGCAGUGAGGAUAUUGGUCAAUGGACGAGAGGCUGAACCAGCCAAGUAGCGUGAAGGAUGAAGGUUCUAUGGAUUGUAAACUUCUUUUAUACGGGAAUAAAACCUCCCACGUGUGGGAGCUUGUAUGUACCGUAUGAAUAAGCAUCGGCUAAUUCCGUGCCAGCAG